CUACGGGGGGCUGCAGUGGGGAAUAUUGCACAAUGGGCGCAAGCCUGAUGCAGCCAUGCCGCGUGUAUGAAGAAGGCCUUCGGGUUGUAAAGUACUUUCAGCGGGGAGGAAGGGAGUAAAGUUAAUACCUUUGCUCAUUGACGUUACCCGCAGAAGAAGCACCGGCUAACUCCGUGCUAGCAGCCGCGGUAAUACGGAGGGUGCAAGCGUUAAUCGGAAUUACUGGGCGUAAAGCGCACGCAGGCGGUUUGUUAAGUCAGAUGUGAAAUCCCCGGGCUCAACCUGGGAACUGCAUCUGAUACUGGCAAGCUUGAGUCUCGUAGAGGGGGGUAGAAUUCCAGGUGUAGCGGUGAAAUGCGUAGAGAUCUGGAGGAAUACCGGUGGCGAAGGCGGCCCCCUGGACGAAGACUGACGCUCAGGUGCGAAAGCGUGGGGAGCAAACAGGAUUUAGAUACCCGGGUAGUC
rnacentral:rRNA from 1 species